AAGUUGUGAACUGUGCACACACUUAUAGUUAACUUUAGAGGCUUUGUGACAACAGAGACCUGAUGUUUGAGGUGAAAGUAACAGCACAAACUUCAUA